UACGUAGGGUGCGAGCGUUGUCCGGAAUUAUUGGGCGUAAAGAGCUUGUAGGCGGUUUGUCGCGUCUGCCGUGAAAAUCCGGGGCUCAACCCCGGACUUGCGGUGGGUACGGGCAGACUAGAGUGUGGUAGGGGAGACUGGAAUUCCUGGUGUAGCGGUGAAAUGCGCAGAUAUCAGGAGGAACACCGAUGGCGAAGGCAGGUCUCUGGGCCGACUACUGACGCUGAGAAGCGAAAGCGUGGGGAGCGAACAGG
rnacentral:rRNA from 1 species